GCCUCCUUAGCUCAGUGGUAGAGCACUCGCCUUGUAAGCGAAAGGUCGUCAGUUCAAUCCUGACAGGGGGCUC
rnacentral:tRNA from 8 species